GAUGAAGAACGUAGCGAAAUGCGAUACGUAAUGUGAAUUGCAGAAUUCAGUGAAUCAUCGAAUCUUUGAACGCAUAUUGCGCUCUCUGGUAUUCCGGAGAGCAUGCUUGUUUGAGUAUCAGUAAACACCUCAACUCCCUUUUCUUUUUUGAAAUUGGAGCUGGACUUGAGUGAUCCCAACGCUUUCUUCCAAGAAAGUGGCGGGUUGCUUGAAAUGCAGGUGCAGCUGAACGUUUCUCUGAGCUAUAAGCAUAUCUAUUUAGUCUGCCUAAAAAACAGAUUAUUACCUUUGCUGCAGCUAACAUAAAGGAGACUAGUUCUUGUGCUGACUGAUGCAGGAUUCACAGAGACAGCUUCGGCUGACUUUGUAAACUCGAUCUCAAAUCAAGUAAGACUACCCGCUGAACUUAAGCAUAUCAAUAAGCGGAGGA
rnacentral:misc_RNA from 1 species